GACGAACGCUGGCGGCGUGCUUAACACAUGCAAGUCGAACGGAAAGGCCCUGCUUUUGUGGGUGCUCGAGUGGCGAACGGUGAGUAACACGUGAGUAACCUGCCCUUGACUUUGGGAUAACUUCAGGAAACUGGGGCUAAUACCGGAUAGGAGCUCCUGCUGCAUGGUGGGGUUGGAAAGUUUCGGCGGUUGGGGAUGGACUCGCGGCUUAUCAGCUUGUUGGUGGGGUAGUGGCUUACCAAGGCUUUGACGGGUAGCCGGCCUGAGAGGGUGACCGGCCACAUUGGGACUGAGAUACGGCCCAGACUCCUACGGGAGGCAGCAGUGGGGAAUAUUGCACAAUGGGCGGAAGCCUGAUGCAGCAACGCCGCGUGCGGGAUGACGGCCUCGGUUGUAACCGACUUCGUCCUCGUGACGAAGACGUGAGUGACGGUAAGU
rnacentral:rRNA from 1 species